rnacentral:rRNA from 1 species
UACGUAGGGUGCGAGCGUUGUCCGGAAUUAUUGGGCGUAAAGAGCUCGUAGGCGGUCUGUCGCGUCGAAUGUGAAAACCCGGGGCUCAACUCCGGGCUUGCAUUCGAUACGGGCAGGCUAGAGUUCGGUAGGGGAGUCUGGAAUUCCUGGUGUAGCGGUGAAAUGCGCAGAUAUCAGGAGGAACACCGGUGGCGAAGGCGGGUCUCUGGGCCGAUACUGACGCUGAGGAGCGAAAGCGUGGGGAGCAAACAGG